CAGCUUUUGUGCUUGUCAGGUCUUUGAUUGAAAGACUGAAGCUCUGGUUUGCACACUACACCUCAUGUCCUACUCUUAGUCCUAUUUGUAACCCUUGAAGCCUGGCUUUACAUCAUUCAGGAAGGAAGAAAUCAAGAAAACAUGUUGUUUGAUGUGCAUGUACAAAUCACUGUAUUACCUCACUAUCGUGCUUCUUUCCCUCAAACGGUUUCAAGGUGCAAAAAGCAUAUAGGUUUGCAUAUUAGGGAAGCAUAUUAGGGAACAAGUAUUGGGUCAGCCAUUCUGCUCUGCAACACAGCUUUUCGUUAUGACUGCCUUGUUCUGGGUAGUGUGACAGUCUCUGUUGUAAACAUAAUGGAAAGGGCUGCAGCUUUUCCUAGAACAGCAAUUGCUCAGACUUAGCAUUCUGUGCUGGUGUGAGAGUUCACACUAGGCCCAGCCUUGACAACACUUAAGCAGUGCUGUCAUCUGUGCUUCCCUUGGUUGUAUUCUGCCUGCCUUGGGUUCAUCUUAAGCAAGGUCUUUGUCUGGCUACAGUGUAAAAAGUAGAAUAAAAAUUGCUGAUUGUGGAGAGACAAGUGAUGUCUUUAUGAAAAAAAAAAAAAGUAGGAAAAAAAACAAACAAAAGGCUGGUGAGAGGUUGUGUAGGGAGUUGUCUGACUUACGUACUUGCAACUUGGAUCUCAUAGCUUAAUGCAUAUAUACCUAAAAUGGGCAAAAAGUGCUUAUAUUGGCCACAGAAUAGGACUGUAAGCAACGACUGGCUUGGUCACAGGAGUGGGGAGAUAUCCGGGCUUUUGCAUUGCCCUUUGCUCCUCCCUAUUUGGCUUUGCAUGAGCUUUUAGGGAAAAAAGUCCAGCAGGGGCUGAGCUGUAAACACAGUCAGCCACAACUGCAAAUCUGUGGUGCUCUGCUGAAGGUCCUCAGACUGGACCAAUUCACAGCAGCAGGAGGAUCAAGCUUUCCAAAUCUGUGAUAGGACUGAAGCCUGCAUCCAGCCCUGUGGAGGAUGAGCCAUCUCCACUUUUUUUUUUAUCUCUGAAGAUGUCCUGGGGCAGAGCUGGAGGCCAAGGCCCACCGGAGCCUGCUCGCAUCACCAUGCCUGCUGAGCAGGAGACCGGGCCGCGCUGCUCCCGCUAACCCCUGGCCACAGGCCCACUGGCUUCUGCGAUGGCCUCAGCAACAUCUGCUUCAUCCAUUAGCAUAGCACUCCUCUCCUGGCCUCCGGCCUGAGCCUUUGCUGCCAUUGAUUAGCAGCAAUUUCCUUCCCAAACCCGAAUGUUCGCCGGACGCCAGAUUGGAUUGCAGUCUGCCUGCCGUUGCAAAGCCACAGUGUGGGUGUGCAUGCACAGGAGUAUAAAUAGCACUGACUUGUUGCCCUCUGAGACGUUUCAGGAACUCUUCUGCUCUCGCUGAAGUUCGGAUUGCCUUCAGAUAUCUUCCCUUUGAGCUCAUGAGUAUAAACUUAUUUCGUGCCUCACCAGCUUUGACUCCUAAACCACGUUCUCGUGUUUGCAUGUUUCUCUCGUUCAACUUCAGCAGUUACAGCACCAGCCCCAAGAUGAAGAACAGUGACAUGAAACUGCAUCUGAGGCUGCAGUGCAGUGGCCCAAGCUGCCUCCGUUGUGUCAUUUCCUCCUCUUCUCCUGGUUGUCAGGAUUUGCAGUAGUGUUUCCAAAGGAGGUGACUCAGAAGCCGUACCUCCAUUUAGCAGCGCAUCAUGACAUGGAAGUGAACCAAAGCACUUAAGAACAUGAAGAAGAAGUGUAUAGCAAAGGAGGGAGGAUGGGGCUUAGGAUUGGAAAAUAAUUUGGGUCAGAAGAGCUGUCUGGAGGCCUCUAGUCCAGCCUUUGCUUGAUACCAGGCCACCUGUGAAGCUGUAUCAUACCAAUGCCACUACGUUCUGCCUGCUAAUUGAAGUUGGGUGGGAUGGCUCUUCUGGUAGAUUACAAUGCUGAUUUUGAAGACCUGCUUAGAUAGGCCUGUGACCUCCAGGAUCAUUCUGAUUACAAAUGUGUCCACCACAAAGCUGCAGAAAGCUUGUGAUGAGGAAGGGAAAAAUGUUCUUGCAUGUCAAUGUCCUUCCAGGAAAAAAAAUGGAAACUGUAGUGUUUGGCUCACACAAGAGAGCAAACACAACAUCUCCCUGAGUGUCUAAAUUGCCAUCUGCAAUAGAGAGACAGGGUAAAGCUUGUUUACCAUGGCAGGCUUGAGGGUGAUGCAAUCUGUCAGAAUUAUAAAAUAUUCUUGGAACUGCUAAAUAUUAUAGAUGCUAAUUCCACUUCAGAAAGUAUCCUGGAGCAGAUGAAAUCUACUGAACAUCAACUUGACACAAAGUGAAAUGGCAUCAAUGUAGGAAUUAGCUCCUGCUUGGUCUCAGUUUCCUGGGACUUGCUCAAGGAUGAUUUACCAGUUGCUCCUAACUCUGUAAUCCAGUAAGGAAGGCUGCGCUGGUGAAAAAGACAAGUUGACAUAGAAGGGAAGUAAAACCCACUACUUAAAGCACAUGAAGCCUCACAACAGUCUGCAAGAGAUGGAAAUAGCAAAUGGAGAGCCAUGGAUGUGAAUGAGAUGUUAGAAGUUGUUAAUAACAAGGAAGCUAAAGGAAACAACAAGAAAUUUUUGGCCAGUGGCAUUAAAAACUGAAGAUAAAAGCCACCGUCCCCCCUGCUGCUUUCAGUCCUCCAUUGUCACCAUCUGAAAACCUGAGUCUUCAGGUUUGCAGGUGGAAGAGGCCAAGAGAGCUGCUCUCACGGAAGUGACCAUCAUGCUUUAUCCAGCCUACACAAGCCUACAAGUUACAUGAGACCACAUCCUGAAGCAGGCCGAGCCCUCCCAGCUUCAAGCGCUUCCAUAUCACACAGAACACCAUUUCGUUGAGGAAAAACCCUCAACAGCACUUGAAAAGAAAGAAAAAAGAAAAUGACUUUAUUAUUUCCAUUGUGGUGGAAAGCAUUUGGUGUCUUCUUAAGGUGUGAGAGUUUGUGCGUCUGUGGCCAACUGCUCAAGUACUCCGAGCCCUUAUUCCUGCAUAUAAGCUGAUGUCCUGCUUAGAGUGGAGAUUUACAACCUGCUCACCAUGGGGGUUGCAUCAGUAAGACAUGUGUUCUCCUCGUUCUCAUACAUUAGCUUGUUUUGGGAGGGGAAAAUGGCUGCUCCCUUCAAAGAAAUCCCGGCUUUUGCUGAUGCUAUCUGGCAUUUUCACGGUGUCAUCAUUUUGCAACUCAUUUCGUGAUCCAGGGCAAAUGUGCGUCAGGGCAUUGGGGUUUUGGUAUACCACAGACGUCAUCUGCUUCUCAACUGCCGCUAACUUGAGGAAGUUGUCAAAAAUACAAUUGGUUUCUCCUACAGAGGAAAACACAUGGCUUAGAAAGCAGUGGGAGCUGCCUGUUUUCCUUUUUGGGUGAAGAACAGGAAUUUUCAGAAUUUGGUCAGAAAGUGGUUUGGGCUGUGGGAGAAGUUGGACUUUGAUCCCAGGGAAAAUCAACUUUGAGAUAACAAGCUCUACAAAAACUCCCCAUUUAUUUGGUACAUUCAUUUGUUUUCAACUAUGUAUGUGCACAUAAUGUGAAUGUAACUAUAUAUAUAAAAUGUCUUCCAUCCUUUCCUCUUUGUGACCGUAGCAGGAGGAAGGGCCUUUACAGCAGCCACCAAAGGACUAAGACGUGCGACAGAGGGAACAGCGUGUUCUUCCAGAGCAUGAAGCUUGGCUCUGGUGCUCACUUCAGGUGGUUAUAUGCGUGGCAUAGAUGCCACGAAUGACUCACAGAUGACUGCAGUACUUAAAAUUUCCUACAAGGGGUUGAUCUGAGGUGAACAGAUAGAGGAAGGAGACAUUAUACGUAGCUCUGUGGACUGGUUCUUCAAGGGUGAUGCAGAAGUCAUUUGCAUGUGAAGUUCUCCCUCUGGCAAAGCUUAGUUUUACAGCAAAAUAUUCUCAGGAAUUCUGUUAUAUUGUGAAAGCCAGAUGAGGGAGGCUGCCUGAAAGCAAUACAAGAUGGCCAGUGUAUCUGGCAAACUAGAAACUUCCUGAUGUAUGUGUGAACAUGACCAAAUACUAUCUAAUGUGCCAAACUGCUCUGAAAGCACAUUUGAAUCAGAAUUAAGUUCAUGCAUCUGGGCCAUCCUGCAGCUGCUUCUACAGGAACGUGUUUGGGUCUAUAGUAGCCUUACUUUCAAGCUUGACCUGUCUUCUGUUGCUUGUAUCUCUUUUGGAGAACUAGAAGACCUUCAAAAGAAACAGCUGUGGUUCUUAUAGUCAUCAGUAGUACUUCCAGCUUGUUUCAGAGAUGCAGCUUGCCCAUUCUCUUUCCGUGCUGCAAUUUGAAAGGUUGAAUGGACUCAAGACAUGCCAAAAUGAUGCACAUUUGGUAUCACUAAAAUUUUCAGCACUUACUGCUUGUCACCAUAAGCAGAGUUGUAACCACACAGGUGCUGCAUCAGAAGAGAGAAAAGCUGGAGCCAAUACUAGUGGAAUCAUUUGACCUGACCUCAAUGGCAAGGGGCAGCCCCAUGAUGUGAAGGCUGGAAGUUCCUGUGUCCAAGGGCAAAAGCUUUGGAAAACUCAGAGGGUAAAGUAGCCAUGCGUUUCUCGAGAUCUACAUUCACUUCUACUUUUAGUGGCUUGGACCAAACCUUAAUGUAAGCAACUGCUUUGGCAUGUUGCACUAAAAUUUUAUCUGGAUGGUGUCGCAAUGUCCUUUGAGCUGUGGGAGAAGACAGUGCUUGAAAUAUGCAUGUUUGAGCAAGUUCAACGCAGCUUGCUUUUGCUGGAGCCUGACUUUCUUUCCUGGACAAAGCCAGAGAUUUGUGGAGUCUAAUAAUGUGUCAGCAAACCAACUUGGCAUAUAGAAAUGAGAAGGGCGAGUCCCUGUUCCAGUUGCAUAAAAAUGUCAGUGUGUGUGGGGAGUAGAUGAAGGUAAAAUUAAGGCCUAGUUUAUUUUCUUUCCUUUAAAGUGUAUUGUGUUUCUUGCUGAUGAGAAUGAUUUCAUAAUUACAAGCAUAUGGUGAAAAUGUCUGGGUAUCGGUAGAGAGUUGAGAUCUGAACUCAGGUCUGGUCUAGACUAUAUUCCUGUGGUCGUACAGUAGGUAAAUCUUGUGGCACAAUUUCUUGACUUUUUAACACGAGAAGCACUGCCAGCAUGUGAUGACCCAGAUAGACCAUUGGUGAUCUCAGAGAACAUGGUCUAUUUGCUUUCUAGUUUUGCCGACAUGCUUGGGGUCAGCAUUUUGAGCCAUACCCCGUAGGCAUGUCCUAGACAUUUUCUUCUGACACCAAGGAGAAUUGAUGUAACUACUGGUUUUCAGGAAUGCAAGCUUUAAAACAAAUAAUCAGAAGUUAAAAAACUUGUUGUAAAACUGACAGUUCAUGUUUUACUUGUUAACGUUGUUCCAAAUGUAAAAUUGGAGUGUGCUUUAAAAUUGUUACAGUGCAGUUCCCCAUGAGGCAAAAUGCCUUCAGUCUGCUGGGAAUGACAAACAAUAAUGGCAGAAGGAAAGUCAACAGGGCUAAAAUUAAAAUACUUGUGUUUAUAAUUGCUUUUACCAAGUUCCUGGAAGGCCCCUGUUUCAGAUGCAGGAUCCUGUAGGGUUAGGUGAAAUAGAACAGAGCAUAAUCCCAGUCCCAGAAGGUUUUGAGCUAUGCAGGUCUCUUCCACUGACCAGACUUCCACUGACACACUUGGAGACCAUGUUACAGACAUAUCAUUUCUAAUUGAAAAAAAUAAUUUAUAGAUUUUUUUUUCAACAGCAAAUUAUAUUUCUUCCAUCUUGUUAAUGACUGUUGGAUGGACAAUGCAGAAGGAUCCCUUUUGCAGGACAAAAAGGCUACAAAAAUAAUAGAAAUGAACGUCUGCAGCUGAAGAGUUUGGCUGGGACUUGAAAAGUUUGCUUUGGGUACGAGCCAGGUCCUGCUGAGGUCUGCAGGAAUUUUGCUCUUGGCCUCAGUGGGACCAAGCUUUCACCCUUGGAGGCCAUGUCCUGAGGAAGAAUUUAGUCUGAAAUAGUUUUCAAAACUUGUAUUGUUUGACUCACAACCAAGCAUUUUGUUGAGACCGAGUGGCUUUGUAUUUCUGAUUGACUCAUGUUGCUCAUCUUAGCAUCCUGCAGCAGUGAUCUCUCAAGGAAAUCCAAGUGUGAGAGAGGAUUGCAUGUAAGGUUCCUAAACCAAAAGCUUCUUGCAGGUCUUCCCAGGUGUCUGCUUAAGCUGUAUAUUUUUGGGAGGAGAUGUGCCUUGGAGCCCCAGCACAUCAGCACACUGCACUGAAGCUAUGGCUGUGACCUGUGGCAUGACUGGGAUAUGCCCAUCCAGACCCUGGUCAUCUUUGAUAGACCCAUCCCUCCAUUCUGCAUAUGAUUCUGUGAUUCAUGGUGAAACAAAUAUUUGAAGGAAGAACAGAGAACUAGUAAAGUGUUUUGAUUUAUACCUCACAUGUAUGCCCUUCCUUAUUACCCCCUUGGUCAUUUUUCCUGUAGACCUCAGAGACCACAUUGAAAAUAACCACUAUCAAAGUGAGGUUUGUGCCAUUCUUCUUCUUCUUCUGAUUAGAGCUAGGAUAACACAUUCAAAUAAUAAGUCUGAAGCUGGGCAUGGGUGGGACAACACUACUGUACUCUUAACACUGCAUGUUCUAGGCAGAUUUAACAUGCAGGUCUUGCAUUGUUGGACUGCACAAGUGUAGUAAUGUUGGAUUUUACUGCUCUAUAUCAACUUGUGAUGAAACGUGGUGACAUCAGCGGAGACAAAGGCCCAUUUCGUAUAAAGCUUGCAGAAACACCAAGUGCUUGUUUGGCCAUUCAGAACACGGAGCUGGGGAAAACAACUUGCUCAGUUCACAGCCCUGAAUCCUCUGGAGAUGCGUGGCUGGGUUAUUUCCUUGAUAUUCUGUGAUAUUAUGACCUGUUCUAAUAGCACAGGAUCAUAGAACUGUAGGAGUUGGAAGGGAGGAUUAUUGAGUUCCAGCCCCUGCUAAAGCAGAUUCCAUACAGGAGGUUGCACAGAACAGUAUCCAGACCCAAAGAAGGAGACUCCACAACCUCUGUGGUCAGCCUGUCACAUUUAAGCAGUUUAUAGUUAUCAUGAUUUAAGAUUUUCCUCCCAAAGUCAAUUGGUUUCACAGUAGACCCCAACAAAUCAGUAUUUUUGUUUUGCUGAAAUGGAGUGUGAUAUCAUUUUAAUGGCUCCUUUCUGAAAACCUUGAAAGCUGCUUAAGAAACAGAUUCACAGUGUAUGGGCUCGAAAACUAUCCCAUUCUGGUGCACUUGAAGUUGUCGAGCACAGAGUGCAUAAUUUAGAAUUGAAAAGAAAAAGAUGUAUCUGUGAAUUAAGGACUGCAAUACAGGAGCUAUCAACCACCAAGAGGCUCUUUUAACCUCAGCAGAGCUGUGCUCUUUAAUGUGUUUUUGUGGGGAAGAAGAAUAAAAAGGAAAUCUGAGAAAACUGAUCUUUAUUUUUAGAAAAAUAAUUUCUUUUUGCUAAGGAGGACUUUUUAUUUUCUGUGCUCUAAAUAAAGCAGUGAUAUGGUCCUGUUGUGCCUCAGGCUAUCCGCUUAAAAGAAAAGGCUCCAAAGAUGGACCAUCUGGAAGCCUGUGCAAGAGCACGCCAGUGCUGUUUGAUGUGGAAGAGCAUCCUUUGGAUGUAUUUUUGCACACUGCUCAAUCCGCUGAAGUUUUUUUUGUGUGUGUUGAGCUGAUGGGAACAUCUCAGAGGAUUUUGCUUCAUGUGUUAAUGCUGCUUGCUUCUUUUUUCAUUAAAUGAAAGCUGGGAAGCAGUGUUUCUCUCUAGAAGCACUUUCGAGAUCUGCAGGUGAUCACAACGCAAAGGGAGUCAGUUGCACAUUCUUGGCCAGAUCUGCUCUUUCCAGGGCACAACAAGAACUUCCUCCUCUUCCCAUUUUUUUCUGGGAUGCCUGGGAUCUCCUUGGUUCCUGCGAGGCCAAAAAAGUUCUCUGUUUUGUUGUUGUGGUGGUGUUUUUUUGUUCAGGACUUUGCCUGAUGUACUUUGUUUCAGUGCUGCAUCUGAGAUGAGGAGAAAUUCACCCCUGGUUCUGGGAUAAGGGGUUCACCCCCACCCCAUGCAGUGUUUCUCUGAGCUUAUGUUCUCAGAUGUUCAAGUCCCAUCCCUGCACAUACCGGUGCCCUUUUGGCUCAACCUGCACAUCUGACAGCCUAUGCACUUUGCCCUCCCAUUAAGAGGCUACUCGUGUAAGGAAUUAGGGUCUUGUAGUUACAAGCUUUUGCAGGGAAACAAAACCACUCUUUUCUUUAGAUGAAUGUUGGACAACUCUUUUUUGUUUGUUUGUUUUGAUGGAAACUUGUGAAAUAAGCAAGAUCAACUCCACCUCCUAAAAUGAGCUCUCAGUGUUUCGUGCCGCCUCCAAGAGAUUACUUUUUAUUUUGGGGGGGGAGGGUCAGGGAUGUGGGCCAAAGUGGGACGUUUGCAAGCUGGUGAAUCUUCUGAAAAGGACAAGUGUAGGCACUUUGUCUCCUCUCAGCAUGGCCAGCGUGGAAAGCAGUGAAGGACUAAAGGACAUCGCAGUGUCGUGGACAUUCGUGCCACUAACUGCUGUUGCUUUCACCAGCCAUAUGUACAGCUGCGUUCUUUUUAUAGUGCUGCAUAUGGCACUAUCGUAAUUGAAUUUUUCUUAAUAAUUGAUCUGACCUGUAUCAUUCUGUUCAUUUUAGGAGAGCUAAUUCAAGCAGAUUGAGAUUAGGACUAAAAAUAUGGUUUGGUUAGCGGAGGAACCAUAAAGAGCGCGACUUCACAGUAAUGAUGACACACAAUCUGUUUUACCCAGAUAGGCUCAUACUAUUUAUAUGUAGCACACUGUCAAGGCUGGUGCCUUGUCUGCCUUCCAGUAGCUGCGAUACAUGGGGUAGUGGCAGUCCUGUGCUGAAGAGCACUCUAAUUCCAUGUUUUGGGACCUUCCCACCUUAUCACUUCCUCUGGCAAGGCUGUGGGGUCCAAGAUUGCAGCUGAUGGCCCUGUCUCUGUUGUAGUAACUCUCCAACUUGCCCAUCCAUGUGAGGAAUUGGAUCUGCACUGUCCCAGCCCUGGGCAGGGGAAACGCGAGUCUCUAGCAUGGUGAGCUUAGCUUCUCACAGCAAGCUAUGGAAAUAGCAAUGAAAUUGGAAUAGGUGAGCUGGAUCCUGCCUCAUGUUUAGAAAUGAAAACCCUAGGGUAGUCUCUGAAUUGCCCUUUGCUGAAAAGGAUUUUGGCUGUUUGGUUCAGACUCCCGAAUGUAGGAACGGCGGAGGUGGGACUGCAGACAACUAAGAAAGUUAGAAACGGCCCAUACGAUUAGGAUGCUGCAAAACGAGUGGCAGCUCUUUCUCUCCCAGAGCUCUCAGCUGCAGCUGAGUAUCUGGACCAGACGUUAUUUUUGGCAAGAGGAAAAAAUAAAUCUCCCUUGAUACUGUGCAAAAAAAAAAAUGAAAGUAAAUGUUGAGACAUACACGAGGGCAAGGAUCUCCUCUGUUGUGUGGCAGCAGUGCUUUUAGAACUGAAAUCCACUUGCUUUGAUCACUGAUUAAAAAAAAUGGACAUAAAAGGGAUUUAUUGUGAAAUAAUGGAUUUGAUCCCCAGUAAUCCUUUCUUUGGGAUUAGACUUGGAAUAUUAUUUUUGUGAUCUGUGGAAUUAGACCAUGCUGGCAUGACAGACCAAAGCACGUGAGUUUAACUGCAGGAUGAGGCUGAGCUGCAAACAGAGUGAAUUACUUGCACAGAACAAAGCAGCUGAUAAAUCUACAGCUCUGUAUUUAAUGACGCAAGAUCCACAUGCAAGCAUAGAAACAGAAAAAAAAAAUCCUAAACUGAAGGCAGGAAAGACCCCUUCUUCCCAGCUGACACUGCAGAGAAACACUGUGAUCACAGAAUCAUUGAAUCAUAGAAUGGCUUGGGUUGGAAGGGACCUCAAGGAUCACCGAACUCCAACCCCUGUACCAUAGGCGAGGUUGCCAACUGCGUGAUCUCUGUGGACUGCUGGCUAGAGCUUCUGGUUUGAGUAUUUUCUGCCACAAGAACUACAAUUUGUAGCUGCUCCCAAUGGAAUGACUGAGGGACUUAGAAUGUCGGUGCAAACUCGGUGCAGGUCUUCAUGUAUGGCCACAAAACUUCCCAGUGAGAUUUGGCAAGCCCCAGGCUCGCUGCCCAAACAGUGCCUGCGUGCACAGCUCCUUGGUCUCCCAGCACACUGCUGAUUUGGCCUGAUGUGUGCUGAGAAGUCCUCCUGAGUGGUUCGUUAUGGGUAUAUUAUAACAAAAUAGGUACAAAAUGUGCUAUGAAUCCCUGGUAUGUAACUUUGAAGUCCCAAACCUUUCACAAAAAGCAACUGCAAGGAACUCCUCUCACUUCUCCUGCCAGAUUUUGACUCUGAACUCAAAGUGGGGCUGGAGAUGGCUUUUAAAACAGAGGGAGAGUUCCUUUGUGUUGUGCUCUGAAUCAGCUGAUCUUCAAAACAAAACAAAACAAAACACAAAAGCUGUGGGACAGAGAGCAAGCGAAGGAAAGGUAAAAUAUCCCCUGCCAGACCCAUUCCUGCUUUCGCUGCUGGACUCACAGCCACACUUCUGUUUGCAAAGGUCACUCCUGCAGCAGGACAUGGCCCAGGCUCCUGCCUUGCACAGCCGUGGGAGCUGCUGGGCACAUCAGCACCCCUAAGCAUAACCCAGGUCUGCUUCUAGUAGGCUUGCUAUUUCAGUCCUUUGAGGACUCUGCUUUUUCCUCAGGGCUUGCUAACCCACAAAGCUGCCUGCUCUGCCUUGAGAGCUGCUGGUGCAGGACUGCUGCUCCGGCUUGGGACAUUCAUAGAGCACUGGGAUUCCCAUUAAAUCUUCUGCUACUAGCAUAGGUUUCCCUAUAAAAAAAAACUGCAGUACAUCUUGAAACUGGGCAAGCCACACCAUGCAAACUCUUGGGAAGAAGCUGGUUACAACAGCCCAUGUUCCAAGUCUCAUGAUUCCUUCGUAGGAUAAAAACGUGUUAAUUAUCUCCAUUUUUUGAUUUAGAGGGAGGGAGUUGCUUUUCCUCACAGCAAUGUAUAUCGAAGGGUUACAAGUGGUGCACGAGGAGUUUGUAAUAAAUCCUGCUUGGCGGUUAUUCAGAAGGUUUCCUUGAGUACACUGUGUCUGAUUAUUGCAGCUGACAGCUCUGUACACGGCGUACAGCAGACAUCACCUGGCACAGCACCACUGUACGCCACCUGGCAAAACUGGGGCAAAACUCAGAGGCAGCCAUGAGAGUUUUCUGCCACAAUUUGUGCUGAAUAUUCCCUCACCCUACCCCAUUCCCUGAUCCUUACUCCCUACCUCACGCACAUGCUCUUGGAUGAAGUGCACCCAAUUUUUGCGCACAGUGCAAAUCUGGUAGGAGCGGCUGACAUCAGCUGUGUCAGUCCAGAGGGACCUCGAGAAAUGUGGAGAUUCAGCCAACAGAAACUUCCUGAAGUUCAGCAGUGAGACGUGCAAUGUCCUUCAUGGGGAGCAGGAAAUCCUCAUGCAUAGAUCCAGGCUGAAAGCAGCCGGCUGAGAGGCCUCAGUGGAAGGGGCGCAGGGUACGCAGUGGGUGCUGAGUUCAAUGUGAGCCAACGUGUGCUGUCACAUGCAGAACAUCCCAUCUGGGGCUACUUGGGAGCAGCAGAGACCAGAGGAAUUUGUCAUCUCCUCUACUCAGGUCACAGCUGGAUACCUACAGGUGUGCAGCACCACAGAGGACAUGAUGGUGUUUGGAGUAGAUCUGUGGAGCAUUCUGCCACGAGGCACCAAAGGUGCAAAGCUUCCUUGGGCUCAAAGGGAUUUGGAAUGAAACCACUGAAGACAGAUCUUCUGGGAAUACAUCCUUGGGAAAAUACAUGCAUUCAAAUUCAUGCUGAUACACCCUCUAAUUGGGUGAUAGGCUUGAGCUGCAAAUUGCCUGUUAGAGCUUUCUGGGGUGGGAGAUCUACAGGUUUGUUCUUCAGUAAUAAGUGCACAUUAGUAGCCCCUGCUGAAGGCAUGAUAUGGAUGCAGGUUUGAUCUGUAGAAAUUUCCUUUCUCUUCAGCAUCUUCCUGGGAAGCUCUACUUCAGUGACGAGGGUGGAAGAUGUAUGGAAACCUGCAAGUUUGGAGAAAACUCAAUUGGAAGUGAAGGCUUUGGAUAGUUCACAGGAAAAAAUGGGAUAGAGUUUUGCCCUGUGCCCUGAGUUCACACUCAGCAGGACUGUGAAAAUAUAGCUGCUUUGGAAAUCCCUCACCUUGGAGUCUCUCCAAAGAGAGGACUCUAACUUGGUGGCUAUGGCUGUGUCACCCUUCUGUCUGUGUCCUUGAGCUGGCUUUGGUGCUUAUUCUCUCUGCAAGCUGAGAUAGGAAGUGAAGCUCCAAGAUGAUAGCCCCAGGAGCAGGCAAAGCAGGGAAACCUUCUUUAGAGGGAUGAUGUUCCAUACAGAAACACACAGCUCUCUUCCGGGUGAUCUUAUCUUGCUUUCACAGUCAUUUCAGAUGUUUUGGGAGCAGUUGAGCAAGACAUGGUCAUGGGAUGCUGGAUACAGUACAUCUAUUGGAGGGGUUGAUCUACACAUAGAGAUGAUUUUUCUUUUUCCCAAAAUGGACCCGUUGUUCUACAAAAUUUGCUUCCUAAACUUAGCAGGAGAGCACCAAUGCCCUUUGAAUUAGUGUGGUUGGAGGAAAGUGUCUAGGAGAAGUCUCAGAUUGGCUGCAAUCAGCAAGAGAAGCGCAUGAUGAUUUUACUGGGAAGUCUCCAUUAUUGCAGUCUUGCUGUGCAGAUCUUUCAGCUGUGAAAAUACAAGAAUUUGCUUUGGAGAUGUGAGCCAUAACUCUGCAAGAUGAUCUUGUGACCAGAGGUGGGAGAACCAGUAGCAGGGAAUUCUGUCUGCAGGUCUUGGAUGGAGGUCACAGAGGAGGAGCACUGGUUGCUUCCACGCCCAUCAACCCUCUUUUUUAGUGGUGAAUGAUAGUUCUCAGAGAUAACAGCUUAUUUAUUUAGUGAAUUCUUGUUUUUGAAAAAAGCGAAGUAAUGGGAGGAGGAAGCAAACCACAAAUACUUCCUUUCAAAUGUCUGUGUUAUCAAAUAUUUGGAAGUUUGGAGUCUGAUAGUAAGGUCUGAAUCCAUAUUCUUCUAUUAGCAACCACAGCUUGACAAAUGAAUCCACAUGCAAGGCAUUCUGUAGCUUGGCAGUGUGGUCAAACUCCUCUUCUGCACUAGCUUUUUUCAACCCUUAUUUCAUUUCUAGAAUUAAACUCUGAUCCAAAAAUGCCUAUUAACAGAGUACUGAUGCUUGAGAAUGCUGAUAGUGUUGAUGAGUUGGUGGCAUACCUGCAUUAGGGAUCUGUGCCAAAUGUAAGUUGCAUCUGUAAUAACAGUUUUGCAGCUCGUGGUUUGGGAUGUCUGGAAUAAAGACCACACAACAUCUGUUUGCUUCCAAGGAAGUGACUCUUCAUAGGCAAUAAAAACACACCUUUGCCUUGAAUUCAAGCAGUACUAAUAGAGGAAACAGUCGUCUGCUGGGGAGGCUGUGAAUUUUGGUGGUGAACUUCCAGCUUGCCAGCCUGGCAUCCCACUUUUCUGGCACAGCUCAUCAUAAACUUGUUUUCCUAGGGAUUUCCACACUAUCAUGACCUUUGCAUGAAGCCAAAGGACACCACAAUUAGAGAUUCUGGUGUUUGCCGAUCAUGGUAUGCUUUUUUUUUUUUUUGAGCAUGUUUUCUGAAUACCUGUGCAUGUCAUUUUUGAGUGGCUGGGAAGAGGGUAGCCAAGGUCAAGAGGCAAAGCAAACGUCCCUAUGCUAAAGCCCCUUAGCCCACUGGUGUGCACAGUUCUUCCCUGUGUGUAGAACAUAGAGAGGAAGCUCUCUUUUGUACUUCAUACAGAAUAUCCAGCCACUGACAGCGUGCACAGGUGGAAUUCUCCAAGUUCCCUUUAGAAGCCAGGUUUCUCAUUGCAAGCAUGCCUAAGAAUGAGCAUGUGGAAUACCUGAGAAAAAUGGGGAAGACCCUAGGUAUGAAUGAUGCAAAUAUAAAAGACCAUAGAAACUAUAGAAACUAUAGAAAAUCAAAAUCUUGAAAAACACACUCUAUUGUUGAGAAAAGCUCUGCAAAGAGAUCUCUGUCUCAAUGAUAGUGUUUUCCUGAAACCUAAGGGCAUUUCUCCUGCUUUGUUUCAUAGCAUUAUGCUUUAAAAUUAAAAUUAAAAUUAAAAUGCUAUUUAGCUUAGCUUGUCACUGCAUACAGCAAGCUUUGAGCAAGAGAAUUGCAUUUCAGGCCUGUAGUAUAAGAGGCAAACAAGUCUGGAAAUCUGGAUCAUAUAUCCUGCCAUUGCACCUGCUGCUAAUACUUACAAUAGCAGAGGUAAUUAAAUAAAUUCCUUUCUGCCACCUCUGUUUCUGCUCCGCGGGGUCAGUAAAGGACUCAUCUAAUGCAAUAAUACUCAUUUCAUUUUGCUAUCAUUUCCUAACUCCAGGCAGCAAAAGGGCAGCAAAAAAGACAUCAAAAGGACAUCCAUGAGGAGCUGCCCAAGACAUGUGCUUUUGAUUGCUUGUUUUUUCUUGGAAGUAAAGGAGAAUGCCCCUUUCCAUCAAUGGAGCCAGUGUUCCCCAGUUGCUGUUUACAGGGUUUUCACCUCAUGCAUGGGGUUGCCUCUGGUUAUACUCAUGCAAAUCUCUCUGUGCCACUUCAGCAACACCCUCUGCACCAGCUGUGAUCAGUGCUCAGGGUGGUAUCUCAGUUGUGCUUUGCUGUUUGCCAGCCAUGCUCAGUGUGGUUAGCUGCACAGAAGCUCAGUGUUCUCUCUAAUUUACCGUUUAUCACAAGAAAGAUUUCAAGUACUUCCAGAUAAUUGUGGUUUCUGCCAGUCUAGGUGGUGUUUCAGCCAAAUGCGUUGCAGAGAAAGACACUGUAUUUUGAAACUUUCUCACUUGUCUUCUCAAUUGCGGUUCUCAGAAACUCCUUUUGAUCACUUCCCUUGCCCUGCCUAACAGAUGUAGUGCUAACUGCUGCGCUUUGUGAGUUGCAAUUGAUUGCUGCUGGACUUGAAGUCUCCUGUUUCUACCCUGAGUUUUUCUCUUUAUUUUUCCUGUAGUCUGCUUAAGCAUAUACUGAUAGAUGCUUCACUUAACUCUGACCAUCUUCUGACUGCUCUACUUUCUUUGUGGCUCCCUGGUGUUCAUCUGUUUUUUUUUUUUUUUCUCAAGUCUUAAGUUGGUCUUGAAAGAGUCGUAUACACACACUUGGCUGACCUGCAGCCACAUUCGCAACCUCUCUGCUGCCCAAGCAGUUAAAAAUAAACUCAACACACCCCAAACACCCAAGAAAGUUGACUGAGUUCUUCUAGGGCCUGUUCUAGCUUAGGAAUUCUUGGUGUAAAAGGAUGCCUUCAAGACACUGGUAUGACCCCUUGGGGCUGUGUUUUUGUUUCCACACCAUGCUCAUUGUGUUUGUAGUUCACAUUUUUUUCCCUUCCUGUAGAGAACAGAGGAGGUGCUGAAUUGUGCUUCAACCAAGCGGUCAUUGACUUCUCUUUUUCUAGAAGCAAUGUACACCGUGUUAUCAGUUCAGGCAGUUGCUUUUGUUUACUAUAGAUUUAGUCCCAAAGAGUUCCCUGGUGAAUAUGUACCUUAUGUGAGAGCCUGAGUCAAUGUUCAAGAGAGAAAGAGACUCUGGAGUGUCUUUGAGCCACUUGCUUUCCAUGACAGAAAUGAGCCAGCUGAGGUUUGUCUCUCUUUGCAUCAAUCAGAUUCUUCUUCCCUUGUUAACUGCAUUUACUGCAUGCUUGUCCUGCCGAACAUCCAACCUGUAGAAGAUUUGGUGGAGAGGUUAGUGGGAAAGAGAUGCUCAACUUGAGAAAGAC
ensembl:lncRNA